AGUAGUCACUUACACAUCCGCACCUGCCUCCUGAAGAGUGUUCUGAUCUGUUGGGCAGCUGUUUGGGGGCUUCUCUUACGCAAUUUUCCUUCUGUGCUACCCUGUAGCACCUUCAGCCACAGUUGGCGGUAGACGGCGUCAAGAUCUGAACCAAACUCCAGGACAACAUCAAUGCACCGUGUAAACGUGCUCCACUGCGACCCCACUGUGCAGAUCCAGACAGCCUGCUUCCACAUCGACCACAGGUUCCUCUGACACAUCUCUGCAACAAUAUCUUUUGGCUCCCUUAUCUUGGGAGUUAAAAUUAAUCAGCGGGAACUUUCCAUAGCUCACUGCCCAACAGUUAU